rnacentral:rRNA from 1 species
CUGUAAAUUGCCAUUGAUACUGGAUUUCUUGAAUUAGUGUGAAGUGGUUAGAAUGUGUAGUGUAGCGGUGAAAUGCAUAGAUAUUACACAGAAUACCAAUUGCGAAGGCAGAUCACUAACACUAUAUUGACGCUGAGGGACGAAAGCGUGGGGAGCGAACAGGAUUAGAUACCCUGGUAGUCCACGCCGUAAACGAUGGAUACUAGCUGUUCGAUCUUCGGAUUGAGUGGCUAAGCGAAAGUGAUAAGUAUCCCACCUGGGGAGUACGUUCGCAAGAAUGAAACUCAAAGGAAUUGACGGGGGCCCGCACAAGCGGUGGAGCAUGUGGUUUAAUUCGAUGA